UCCUCUCUCUUUGAGUUUACAUCCUGUUUGACGGUCGUUGCUAAUGAUCAUGCUGCGUGAGCGAGGUUUUCACCCACACGUUGCUGACCGAGCAUCGUAGAAACUUUCCAGUCUCUGAGCACGAGGCAGAGAGGCUGCAUGACGAUUCCUCUGUUGUGUUCUACUUAUACACCAUCUUGGCUAGGUUUCUAAUGCUGAUUUAGAGACCAUCUGGUUGGACUGAAUGGAUUUCUCCUUGAUUGGAGAUGGCGAGCCUGAGCCCGGAACUGGAUUCCUGAACGGAGAACCACAUUUGUUUCUUCAGCACUGAUUCAUCUUGUGGUAACUACUCACCACAAGAUCUGGAACACUAUUUGACUGAAAAGAAAAAAAAAACUGAAUGGUACCAGACGACUAAAACAAAGACAGACUCUGACUAAACAAACUAUGGGUACUAAUGGGAACAUGAACCAACCUGAUGUGGACUUUUGAAUACCAGUUUGUGAAGUUGAAUUCUUGUUUAUGCUUUUGUUCCAUGUUUAAAAUAUACUAAUUGUCUAACUCAUUUCCUGGCUCCAGCUAUUUCCUUGCGUAUCACUCCUAGCUUACAAUACCUCAU